GGCUGGUUAGCUCAGUUGAUUGAGUGUGGUGCUGACAACGCCAAGGUCAUGGGUUCGAUUCCCGUUCGGUCC
rnacentral:tRNA from 1 species